GGCUCGGUAGCUAAAUUGGUAAGGAACUUUGCUAGCGUAUAAGGAACGUGAGUUUAAAUCUCAUCUGAGCUG
rnacentral:tRNA from 1 species